UGACCUCGGAUCAGGUAGGGAUACCCGCUGAACUUAAGCUUAUCAAUAAGCGGAGA
rnacentral:rRNA from 1 species